GACGAACGCUGGCGGCGUGCUUAACACAUGCAAGUCGAACGGAAAGGCCCUGCUUGCAGGGUACUCGCGUGGCGAACGGGUGAGUAACACGUGGGUGAUCUGCCCUGCACUUCGGGAUAAGCCUGGGAAACUGGGUCUAAUACCGGACAGGAGCCAUUUUUAGUGUGAUGGUUGGAAAGUUUUUUCGGUGUGGGAUGAGCUCGCGGCCUAGCAGCUUGUUGGUGGGGUAAUGGCCUACCAAGGCGGCGUCGGGUAGCCGGCCUGAGUGGGUGGACGGCCACAUUGGGACUGAGGUACGGCCCAGGCACCUACGGGAGGGAGCAGUGGGGAAUAUUGCACAAUGGGCGCAAGCCUGAUGCAGCGACGCCGCGUGGGGGAUGACGGCCUUCGGGUUGUAAACUCCUUUCGCUAGGGACGAAGCUUUUUGUGACGGUACCUAGAUAAGAAGCACCGGCUAACUACGUG
rnacentral:rRNA from 1 species